ensembl:lncRNA
CUUGCAAUCCUAAAGGCAGAGGAAAUCAAAAAUGACAGCAGGGGGUGACUUUCCCUUGCAGGCCCAUCUUCUCCAGAAUUGUCCUGAUCACACACAACAAAUAAGAGAAGAAAGGACACCAUGGCAACUAUGUUAAUCCCUAAGCCCAAAGGUUUUCACAGCAGAACACCAGAGGAACACCGUCUGGACAUCACAGGUUCUGUACAGCAGCGGUCCGUGAGUCGUUUGGUACCGGGCCACGAGAGUGAAAUUUAUGGUUUUCAGGGUUUUUAUCGUUAACUCGGUUUCCCUGAGUCUUUCCCUUGUUGUAGUUGUGUGUCUUAUUUUGAAAGAAAUAUUUACACGUUACCAUAGCGACCAGAGAGCAUUGAGGAGGAUGUUACUGUCAAUAUUGGCGCAUUUUCAGGAGGACACUGCUAAUAAAGUUACACAAUUACACAGUACAUUCACGUUUAUUAUUAUAUUUACAAAAUACCACAGUUUUUGUCUUGGUCGGAUCAUUUUAUGUGGUCGUAUUCAUCCGCGAUACCUUAAAGGCUCCGUGUCUGACAUAAACCGGUCUGUGGCGCAAAAAAGGUUGGGGACCGCUGCUGUACAGCAUGAGGGUUAAUAGGACUGUACUCAUAUGAAUAUGAUGCGUAAAUUGAUUUAUUCUUGUACAUCCACGCCGUAGCGGCCCAUUUCUUCACCCCAGUGAAGAAGUGAUCGUUUUCUCCUCGUUGUAAUAAAUUAAGCCUUUUGGUCUUUGUUCCCCACAACAUAUCACCAAUUCGAAAAAAUCAAAAUUAGCUGUAUGUAAGCGGCAAUACAUGAAAAAUCUCGGGACCCCCGAUACAAGCUGGUUUAUGGUUAUUUUAAAGAAAAGAAACAUGUCUAUGCAGAUGCCCAAAGCUUAUCAAAAUGACCGAUAUAACAAUUUAAGUUUUGUACAACCAGAUUUUCAUAUACUUACAUUUGAAAGUGUUUUCCUCUCCUGCUUCGACCACCAUCGUUAUCAGAAACAAAUCUCCUCUAUGACCC